ACAUACACUGAGUGUGGCUCCUGUGAGAGUGGAGCUCCUCCGAGGACCCCUGAUCCUCAUUGCUCAGGAGCCUGGAGCUGGGCUGAGAGUAGAAAUGAGUUGGUUUCACUUUGCUGGAGAGAAGCAGAAGCGGGAUAAGCUGGUUGGAGCCCACUGCCUGGAGCCGAGCUCGUCCUCUGUUCGUGUGGGGAUAGAGCUCCAUCCAGCUCCACAGACUCCGGAUUAUAUAGUUCCACUGGCCCACCCGGAACUUCAGAAUGUGACCUUAUUUGGAAGUAGGGUCUUUGCCUAUGUGUUUAAGUUAAGGCUCUGGAGAUGAGAUCAUCCUGGAUUUAGGGUGAGCCCUAAAUCCAACAACUAGUCAGAAGAGGAGACACGGAGGGAUGCGGGAAGACACGGGGAGAAAGCCGUGUGAAGACGGAGCCAGAAACCCGAGGGGUGCGGCCUCAAGUCAAGGAACCCCAAGGAUUGCCAGGAGCCACCAGAAGCUGGAAGAGGCACGAUCCUCCCCUCUGGGAGCCUUUAGAGGAAGUAUAGCCCUGCCAACACCUUGAUUUUCAGACAUGUAGCCUCCAGAACUGGAGGGAAUAAAUUUCUGUUGUUCUAAGCCA